rnacentral:rRNA from 1 species
AAUGAACGUUGGCGGCGUGGAUUAGGCAUGCAAGUCGAGCGCGAUUUCCCGCAAGGGAAGGAAAGCGGCGAAAGGGAGAGGAACACGUGGAUUAUCUACCCUCCGGCCUGGGAUAGCUACGGGAAACUGUAGGUAAUACCAGAUGACGUCUUCGGACCAAAGGUGUGAUUCCACCGGGGGAUGAGUUCGCGUCCUAUUAGCUUGUUGGUGGGGUAACGGCCCACCAAGGCCAUGAUGGGUACCGGGUGUGAGAGCAUGGCCCGGCUCACUGGGACUGAGACACUGCCCAGACACCUACGGGUGGCAG